AUCACAGAAAGGGAGAGAGGAAAGAAGAAGAGAAAAAGAAAAAAGGAAAAAGUGGCGGGGCUUUUUCUUGUUU
rnacentral:ribozyme from 13 species